rnacentral:lncRNA from 1 species
UGCACCAGCUCCUGCACGCCCUCGUGCUGCCAGCAGUCUAGCUGCCAGCCGGCUUGCUGCACCUCCUCCCCCUGCCAGCAGGCCUGCUGCGUGCCCGUCUGCUGCAAGACUGUCUGCUGCAAGCCUUCUAGCUGCCAGCCAGCUUGCUGCAUCUCCUCCCCGUGUCAACAGUCCUGCUGUGUGCCCGUCUGCUGCAAGCCCAUCUGCUGUGUGCCUCCAGCUUGCUGCACCACCUCCUGCUGCAGACCCUCCUCCUCCGUGUCCCUCCUCUGCCGCCCUGUG